rnacentral:rRNA from 1 species
UACGGGGGGGAGCAAGCGUUGUUCGGAUUUACUGGGCGUAAAGGGCGCGUAGGCGGCCAGCACAAGUCAGUUGUGAAAUCUCCGGGCCUUAACUCGGAAAGGUCAACUGAUACUGUGCGACUAGAGUGCGGAAGGGGCAACUGGAAUUCUCGGUGUAGCGGUGAAAUGCGUAGAUAUCGAGAGGAACACCUGCGGCGAAGGCGGGUUGCUGGGCCGACACUGACGCUGAUGCGCGAAAGCGUGGGGAGCGGAACAGG